GGUCAAGUAGAGAAGGGCGCACGGUGAAUGCCUAGGCACUGGAAGCCGAUGAAGGACGUGACAAACGACGAAAUGCUUCGGGGAGCGGUAAGUACGCAGAGAUCCGGAGAUAUCCGAAUGGGGGAACCCGGCACCGCGAGGUGUCACCUUGAAUGUGAAUAGAUAGCAUUAAGGAGGAAGACGCAGUGAACUGAAACAUCUAAGUAGCUGCAGGAAGAGAAAGAAAGAUCGAUUUCCCAAGUAGCGGCGAGCGAACAGGAAAGAGCCCAAACCUAAUGGCUUGCCAUUAGGGGUAGAAGGACUGUAAAAAGCCGAAUGGAAGGAUAGCAGAAUUAUCUGGGAAGAUAAGCCAAAGAGGGUGAGAGCCCCGUAAGCGAAAUCCGGAAA
rnacentral:rRNA from 1 species